GUCCUCGUAGUUCAAUUGGAUAGAACGCUGGCCUCCGAAGCCGGAACUUGUGAGUUCGAGUCUCACCGAGGGCA
rnacentral:tRNA from 1 species